AAAACUACUCGGUAACUGUAACGAUUACAUUCACUACCUAAAUAAUUAACGUUAAUUAGCGCACAGCGUAGGAGAGAAUUGAAAAUCAAGUUUAGUUUUAUUUGAACGCUAAUAACGUUCAGGUGCAUAACAUCCAAUGAUUCUCGGGUAAAGUGCGCCGUGUGUAGUUAUAAAGCAUAGAAUCAAUCAAUACAAAAAUCAGCAUCCAAACUACAGACAAAGAAAAGAGUACAGAGUACAGCGAAAACAACAUAAGCGAAUGCGAUAACAAUGUGAAACAGACAAAGCAAAAGAGUU